AACGAACGCUGGCGGCAUGCCUAACACAUGCAAGUCGAACGAAGUCUUCGGACUUAGUGGCGCACGGGUGCGUAACGCGUGGGAAUCUGCCCUUGGGUGCGGAAUAACUUCUCGAAAGGGAUGCUAAUACCGCAUAAUGUCGUAAGACCAAAGAUUUAUCGCCCAAGGAUGAGCCCGCGUAAGAUUAGCUAGUUGGUGGGGUAAAAGCCUACCAAGGCGACGAUCUUUAGCUGGUCUGAGAGGAUGAUCAGCCACACUGGGACUGAGACACGGCCCAGACUCCUACGGGAGGCAGCAGUGGGGAAUAUUGGACAA
rnacentral:rRNA from 1 species